UACGAAGGGGGCAAGCGUUGCUCGGAAUGACUGGGCGUAAAGGGCGCGUAGGCGGUUGUUACAGUCAGAUGUGAAAUUCCCGGGCUUAACCUGGGGGCUGCAUUUGAUACGUGAUGACUAGAGUGUGAGAGAGGGUUGUGGAAUUCCCAGUGUAGAGGUGAAAUUCGUAGAUAUUGGGAAGAACACCGGUGGCGAAGGCGGCAACCUGGCUCAUGACUGACGCUGAGGCGCGAAAGCGUGGGGAGCAAACAGG
rnacentral:rRNA from 1 species